AUUGAACGCUGGCGGCAGGCCUAACACAUGCAAGUCGAACGAGUGGCGGACGGGUGAGUAAUGUCUGGGAAACUGCCCGAUGGAGGGGGAUAACUACUGGAAACGGUAGCUAAUACCGCAUACCAUCGGAUGUGCCCAGUUGGGAUUUGCUAGUAGGUGGGGUAACGGCUCACCUAGGCGACGAUCCCUAGUUGGUCUGAGAGGGUGACCGGCCACACUGGAACUGAGACACGGUCCAGACUCCUACGGGAGGCAGCAGUGGGGAAUAUUUCACAAUGGGCGCAAGCCUGAUGAAGCCAUGCCGCGUGAAUGAAGAAGGCCUUCGGGUUGUAAAGUACUUUCGGCGAGGAGGCGUUACUCGCAGAAAAAGCACCGGCGAACUCCGUGCCAGCAGCCGCGGUAAUAC
rnacentral:rRNA from 1 species